GGAGGUUGCUAAGUGGAAGUGCAGGUGCUGCUGCUUCUUGCACAAACUGCAGUUGUAAUCCAGGAUUCACGGGCCUGUAGGGGCUCAGACUUCAAAUUGAACCGCGCCUCGGCGGCAGCCACAGGUGUAAUACACGAGGCCCAGGUACCAGAAGGUGUCCAGCAGGGCCUUGGCGGCGCCCUAGCAGCUGAGGUCCAGCCGCUGCGCGCCCAGGUUCAUCUCAUUAGUGGACGCCGCGGGCCCGCGAGUUCGGAGCAGCGCGUGUAUCUGUGGGUCUUUGGGGCUGGCCUCGCUAGCCUACCAGCUUCCUUUCGGUGAUGCUCUUUGCUACCGCCAGGCUCCUGACCCCAGCUUGGACAGCAGGCCGCCGAGCGCCCCUGACGCCCGUUACCGAGAUGGCUGCGCAGAAGGAGUGGCUGUGGGGCUGUGAUCUCUCCUAGAACCUCAGAGGCAUGAAGCUAGAAUAUCUUCCCCUUCAAGGAGAAUAAGCCAAGAACACAAGAAGAUCAGAGGCUGUAAGGAGCUGCUAUAAGGCCUUCUCCCAGUCACUUCCCUCUCUCUCCUGAGAGGCUGUCUUGAAUGAAUUUCUCAUCACUUACCAGAUUCUGAUGAGGGUAUAUGAGACAAGGACCUGGGGAGUUGGCCUCUUUGGUUCAUUCUUUGUACUGUUUAUGUAAGUACUAAACUGUCUCAAUCUAAAAGUGGUUCCUUGUAUUUUUACCAGUCAAAUCAGUCAGGCUUUAGCCUUGUCUAUAUGAGCUUGUUACCAUAUAAUCCUAAUAAUCCUAAUUGCUGUCUAUGUUUUUUACCUGUAAAUUAAAAUAAUUAGGAUACUUGUGUUCAUUCAAAGGUUCUUACAUUAAAUAAAUACUGAAGGAUUACCAUGUUCUUAAA
rnacentral:lncRNA from 1 species